rnacentral:rRNA from 1 species
GGAAACCGGAGCUAAUACCGGAUAAUAUAUUGAACCGCAUGGUUCAAUAGUGAAAGACGGUUUUGCUGUCACUUAUAGAUGGAUCCGCGCCGCAUUAGCUAGUUGGUAAGGUAACGGCUUACCAAGGCAACGAUGCGUAGCCGACCUGAGAGGGUGAUCGGCCACACUGGAACUGAGACACGGUCCAGACUCCUACGGGAGGCAGCAGUAGGGAAUCUUCCGCAAUGGGCGAAAGCCUGACGGAGCAACGCCGCGUGAGUGAUGAAGGUCUUCGGAUCGUAAAACUCUGUUAUUAGGGAAGAACAAAUGUGUAAGUAACUGUGCACGUCUUGACGGUACCUAAUCAGAAAGCCACGGCUAACUACGUGCCAGCAGCCGCGGUAAUACGUAGGUGGCAAGCGUUAUCCGGAAUUAUUGGGCGUAAAGCGCGCGUAGGCGGUUUUUUAAGUCUGAUGUGAAAGCCCACGGCUCAACCGUGGAGGGUCAUUGGAAACUGGAAAACUUGAGU